UAACUCUCUUCGUUUCCAUUCAUAAAUAGAGUAAGAGGGGUGUAAAUGAUCCGACACUCUGGCUUUCUCAUUGCACUUUCGUCCAAAUUUGAACUGCAACCGCUGACAACCUUGGUUACUCUUUACUCUCUCGGGUUUCCGUGAAGUCGAGCCAGGAUAAUUCAGGGGAAGGGGAAGAAAUGGAAGCUGUGGCUUGUGGAGGAGUCCAUUAGGAGAAUUGGAUACUUGGAGAGUGUUAAGACCAUGUGUUCAGUGCUGUUGUUGCUGACUUGCUGCUAUUUUGGGUAGUUGUUCAAGUAUUUGAAAUUUAAAUUUUAUAGUUUCAUAAUCACGUUGAAGGGUUUUUGGUUGAUGGAUAUUCAAUUAUUGGGUCUCAAUAUUCUCAAAAGGGUUUCAAACUCUAAAAGUGUGUAUGGUUUAGUUAUUGCUAUUUGUAGAACUGUUUAGAAACCUGGUCAUUAGUGGAAGCUAAGAAUAAAUGAUGAGUCCUUUCAAUUUGACGAUAUAUUCGAGAUAGACUGUCAGGACCAGUCCUGUGACUAAGAAAUGUCUAUCAAGUGAACUUGAAUGUCAAAAGUUGAAAAUGGUCCCUGGUCGGAGUUUUCUAUAAAUGGGAUAAGACAAGAAAAUUAAACAACAACUCAUAUGACCUUGUGCUUGUGAUAAUGUGCUUUUAUUGGAUAUAUCCUGUGGGUUUUUUCCUUUGAGAAAACUGACUAAAAUGGGUUGAGAUUUGUGAUAAAAAUGUGUCACCAUGGUUAGCAACAUAUAAUGUAUCAAAUGUUCAGUUAUGACAAUAUGUUAGGAUUGAUUGGUAUAGGGUGCUUUAAUGUUUUAAGCCUCCUACCAUCCAUUUUUAUUGGUAAUUAGUUGAUCUUAAGGGGCAUGUUUCUGUGCAUAUAUCAAAAGUGUUCAGUAUUCUUCACUUCUCUGUGUGUGAGUGUGUGCGUGCGCAUGUGUGAGUUCGUGUGGAACUGUGUAUAUUCAUAUAGUAAGAAAAUUUAACUUUCAAAAUUUUGUUCUUAGUGGCAAAGCUGUUAGAGUUGCCUUAUGAUCUGUGGAAGUGGUUCUAAUAUACUAUGUUGGCUUGAUUGUGGUUGCACGAAUCUAGACAACCUCUCUCCACUAUGGUUUUUCGAAGCAAUGAGGAGUGUGGCGGUUAAAGAAAUUAAUAUAAUAAAUAGUUAAGUAGAUACAUAUUACCAAAAAAAAAUAGUUUCUUUUACUGGGGCAAAAUAGUUCAGGACUGAAUAUGAAAUGUGACAGUACCCUUGGCCCUUGCUUAAAUUGCAUAGAUAAAGAAUGUGAAAUUAGAGGAAGAAGUAUACGGAAAAUCUAACCGACUUCUUGAAAUCUUACACUCCCCAAGGCUGCACACCCCUGUUUAUUGGACUAAGGGAGUGAAUGGUUUCUUGACCUUCUGUUUGCUUCUUAUAGAGAUCCUUGGGAGAGAAUAAUUUUGCAAAUCACGUUCCGUUUGUUUAUUACUUAAAUUGCUAUGUAUAGCUUUGAAUUUUGACUUGUUUAAUUCCAAAAAUUUCAUGGAGCAUUGAAGUUCGUUUUUGGAUUUUGUUUUCUGUUCUGUGAUGUUUAUGGUUUUGUCCAAUUUGGGCUAUAAUCUUUUUGUUGUUUGCUGGAUCUUCUCUUUAUCAGUGUCAAGUGGAGUGUAUAUAAGGCAGAUGACUCUGCAAUACUCAGCAAUGCUACACCUUUAGAAUGACAUAUUUGUUAUACACCUCUAUUUGCAUUGAUUUGGUAUACAUCCCUUCUCAUGAGAUAAAUUUCCUGUAUUGUAUCAAAGUUUUCUACCUUCACCAUGCUUGUUCACAAGUAGUCAGGUAAUCGAGGAAAUGGAAAUAUUAACUGCUAGUCCUACUGUUUCUCUUGAUAGGUUUUUUUUUCUUGCCUUAUCGUUAGAGUAGCUAACUGAUGGGUGGUUGGAACAGUUUCAACCCACGAGAUAUUACAAGUAUUGAGAAUUCUCUUAAAAGUUGAAAGUUUUUCGUUCUAUUUCCUCCUUUUGUGUUCAUUCCAUUUCUUCAUAUUCUUUUAACUUUUGGAGGUUUCAGAUAAUUUGGAGAAGUAGUGACCUGAUUGCUCGUGGACUUGAUGUUGCACUCUCACUUGCUCCGCGGAAGAAUUCUAUGGCAGACAUAGCAUUCAAAUUACACUAAUCACACGUUUCACUGUUCAUAAUUUAAUAUGCUAGCAUUUGAGCUCCUCGGUUAUCAAGGUAUAUAUACUUUUUUCUUCUUUAAAGACCAAGGUAUAGCUACUAAUAAGUUGUGAAAUACGUAGUAUUUAGUGACAUAUCUUCACUUCACGUCCUCAGUGCAUGUUAAUAUGUUUCAAAUUAUUAAUUUCGAAAUCUAGUAGGAUUUUGGAUUUUGGCUAUUAUUUUUUCAUUUAUUUUCAGCUACUGUAACUGAUCCUGGUUUCAGCAAUUUCAUGUUCAUUAUCACGAUAAAGAAGGAACCAAAACUUUCUGUCUAUUUUAUCUUUCACAAAUUUGCUAUCAAAUAUUGGUUUGAAACCUUCUUUAUUCACUAUUGUUUAUUGCAACGUUGUUCAAUAUUUUGGAGAAAAGAUAAUGCCAAUUGGUAGCUAUAAUGUUGCUUGGGUUAGGUUGUAUUUUCUUCUCUUCAUGUUGAAGUAGCUAACUGAAGGGUAUUUGAAAAAGCAAGAUUUUCAUAAAUGGAAGCAAAUCAACCUUUUUUUCAUUUUUUUUUAAAAAUUAAAUCUCCUUUGCACUUUUAUAUGUGUAUUAUACGUAAUUAAUGGGGUGCGUAAAUUAUUUUACCUUUCACAUGUAAAACUCUAUCCAUCUCACUCAGCAUGAUGUGGAAACUCUAUCUGUGAUUCUCUGUGUCCAAGGACUUCCCUAUAAAAAUGAUAUCACACAUCUCUUAAUCAGUGUGCUUUGUCCAUCUCUCUCUCUCUCUCUCUCUGGUUUUCUUGGUCGUUGUUUUACUGAGUAGCAACUUAGCAUGGAGAUUCAAAAGGAUCAAGUAGCUUUUAUGCUUGCUACCAUGAAAUGUCCGAGGAAGAGGAAAAGGAAGAGAUCUAAGCCCCAACAUAUAUCAUAUUGCGUCAGCAAUUCACCAAAAUAAACUCUGUCGAAUGGGAGAUUUGCAACCGCAUGUAACCAUUACCUCAUUUUCGUCCUCGUGCCAAAUCCAAAGCUGCUGUCUGACUUUUGCAAAGGGGUCACGAAAAUGCCUACCACAACCAAUACCACCACUAUAAUUUCCCCGUGCAAUCUCCAUCGACAUUCUCUCUCUCCUUUGCAUCCGUACCAUGGUUGCCUCUAUUGUGCGUACUACCCCAGCGAUGGUGUCGUCUAUGGACACACAUCAACGUCUUGCCCAAAAAGUUUGUACUUGAUCUCGACCACCUGAACCCUGGUCUCAGCCACACUGAUGAGCGUAAGCCUACAAUUUCUAUUUCCAUUGAUUAAUGGAUUCUCGUCUUUGCGCUUGAAAGGUCGGAAAGAUCCUCAAAUAGAGGCUAAAAAAAUGGAUGACUCCUUCCUUGAAUAUCCAAGUGAUGUAAGUGAUUCUUUGGAGAUCUCUCAUCCUUUAUCAUCAUUAUCAUCAUCAUUACCCCAUUGCCUCAAAGAGGCUCCCGCAACAAGCGGGUAAGGGGGGGUCGGACGUAUGCAACUUUACCCGGUGCAGAGAGGUUGUUUCCAAUUGACCCAAAAGCGAUAAUAGGAAAAUGAGACGACCAUCUUUUACUUCAUGGAAAGGAAUCGAAGAGGCUUUAAGAGGCUUUUUGAUUUAGUCCAUUACAUCCCAAAGCCAAAAGAACAAAUGAAUCUUUUGCGAAUAGAAAUUUCAGUCGCCUCAUUUGUCGAAGAUGUGAUCAUUUCAAGUACAGGCAACAGAGGUCCUUGAUGAUUGAUCAAUAUGUAUUAACGGAUUGCAAACGUAUGUAAUAAAUAAAUAGAUAUUUUGAAUUUAAGUUUAACUAGAAAAGUUCAUUCUUGGUUGUUUAGGAGCCACAAUGGACAACGAUGUAACAACCACGAUUUGAUCUGAUGUCUUUAUGUGCGAGAAAUGUAACUUAGGUUUGGAACUUGUAAAUUAGUACUUAUCUUUAUGACUACCUGUGAAUAAACAAUGUAAUCUCUCCAUUUCCAAGUACUUCGUCUGGUAUUUUUCUC